rnacentral:rRNA from 1 species
UACGUAGGGUGCGAGCGUUGUCCGGAAUUAUUGGGCGUAAAGGGCUCGUAGGCGGUUUGUCGCGUCGGGAGUGAAAACCUUGGGCUUAACCCCGGGUCUGCAUUCGAUACGGGCUAGCUAGAGUGUGGUAGGGGAGAUCGGAAUUCCUGGUGUAGCGGUGAAAUGCGCAGAUAUCAGGAGGAACACCGGUGGCGAAGGCGGAUCUCUGGGCCAUUACUGACGCUGAGGAGCGAAAGCGUGGGGAGCGAACAGG